rnacentral:misc_RNA from 1 species
AGCAUUUGAUUUUCAAGUUUCUUAUGUAACUAUUACAGAAAUUGGGCCAAGAUUUUUCCAGCUUGGCUUGGUAAGAAAUUGAACUUCCAAUCUAAGCUACAGAAUUAAGUAAAAUGAAAAGCAAGUGUUAACAAUGCCUAGAAUAUUUAUUUCGUGAAACACCACCAAUUCCCCAACAGUUCCACCCCACGUCUCCAGAGCACAGAGAAAAAAAAAA